rnacentral:lncRNA from 1 species
UAAGGGACUAGACCAGUGAUAGUGCCACCUUACAUCAUCAGCCUAGGAGCAUACAGAUGCAAGCUCACCUCUAGCGGAAUCAGGGAGCAGUUCCUUUACUGUAGCCAAAAGCAUCUUUAGUAAGAUAUUCCUGAAGGAUCACAAACAGCAAAAUCAGAUGAAAUUGUCAUCAUCUUCUGAUUCAUAAUCAGUUGAUGCAAAAUAUCAUACUCUCAAGAAAUGAAUGCUUCAUAUAAAAUUCUUGGUUACAAAUGCACAAAAUAAUUAAAACACAUACUCGAAAAUCAAACAAAAGAACCAACCCAAAUCCCUGAAUGUUCAAUUAUUAAGCUGGUUCCAUCAUGAACACUAAAGCUCAAUCUUAUUAAAUAACAAAUAAUAGAUUAAAUUUCCUUAAUCAAGAUAAAUGAUUUUAUGGUUCAAAACAUUUGGAGAGUCUAUAUACUACACAAGAAUAAUUUUAAAAAAAAAAGGAAAAGAAGUCUCAUCUCAACUAUCUUCCAAACAGCAAAAUGACCGUCCUUUCCCCAACCAAACACCCCAUGAAGCAGUUGCAUAAGAACAAGCAGCCUUCCGACCCAUAGUAGCUCAUGCCAACCCAUUCUUCUAAAACCCAUUAAUUGAAUUCUGUAAAGUUUCAUAAGCCAACUUUUUUAUUUGUGUUUAGGAAGAAAAAUAAAUAUUUUUCAGGUUGAGUUUAUUAGAAGAUGAAGAAACAAGCAAUAACGGAACAAAAAGAUAAAAACCCCUUUUGAUCCAUAAUAAUCUUAUUUUUAAUUUGGAAAAUAUCAAAUCAAUCCAAACCUAAGAUUGCUUAAGGUAUCAAUUAAAAAAAUUAAAAAAUUUCAGAAGAACUGAAAACAUCAAUGAAAACCCCAAUUUUCUAAACACCAAAUCAACAUAAACUAGAAUUCGAAGAAAAGAGAAAAUAAAUUGCAGAAGAUCUAGAAAUUAAAGAAAAACACAAAAAUAAACAGCCAAUGAGAAAAUUAAAAAAAACACAAUGUCGAUUAAGACUGAGAAAGGAUUGAUAUUUUAUUCAAUGUAAGGAGCAGCUAAAAUAGAAGAACAAGGGACGAGAUUUUGGGAUUUCCUGCAACGAAGAGACUGAGAAAGAAAAGGACGUCGUCUGGUAGAGAGAUGGAAAGCUGGGUUCCUUUGAAAGGGUCAGGUGAAGAGGAACGAGAGAAAGGGAGAGGGGAAAGGGGAAAGGGCAAAGGGCAAAGGGUAAUAGGAGAAAGGACUUGGUGAAUGGAAAUGGAACAGUAUCAAAACAAAGUUCAAAACAUUGUCCGCCAUGGGAAGAUUUCAUGGGGGAAAAUUUGGGUAAAAUGUCC